UUAGUGUUGUUUGUGGCUUUGGUUGGUUUGAUUUUGGUGUUAUGGUUUAUGGGGAGUUUUAAU
rnacentral:tRNA from 1 species